UGAGUAAUGCUUGGGAACAUGCCUUGAGGUGGGGGACAACAGUUGGAAACGACUGCUAAUACCGCAUAAUGUCUACGGACCAAAGGGGGCUUCGGCUCUCGCCUUUAGAUUGGCCCAAGUGGGAUUAGCUAGUUGGUGAGGUAAUGGCUCACCAAGGCGACGAUCCCUAGCUGGUUUGAGAGGAUGAUCAGCCACACUGGGACUGAGACACGGCCCAGACUCCUACGGGAGGCAGCAGUGGGGAAUAUUGCACAAUGGGCGCAAGCCUGAUGCAGCCAUGCCGCGUGUGUGAAGAAGGCCUUCGGGUUGUAAAGCACUUUCAGUCAGGAGGAAAGCGUGGUGGUUAAUACCCAUCAUGUGUGACGUUACUGACAGAAGAAGCACCGGCUAACUCCGUGCCAGCAGCCGCGGUAAUACGGAGGGUGCGAGCGUUAAAUCGGAAUUACUGGGCGUAAAGCGUACGCAGGCGGUUUGUUAAGCGAGAUG
rnacentral:rRNA from 1 species